UUGACCUCGGAUCAGGUAGGGAUACCCGCUGAACUUAAGCAUAUCAAUAAGCGGAGGAAAAGAAACCAACCGGGAUUGCCUCAGUAACUGCGAGUGAAGUGGCAAAAGCUCAAAUUUGAAAUCCGGUGCCUCUUGGUGCCUGAGUUGUAAUUUGGAGAGACAAAUUUGUUUGAUGGCGCCGGCCUAGGUUCCUUUGAACAGGACAACAUAGAGGGUGAGAAUCCCGUUCCUGGCCGGAUGUUCCGUCAUAUAUCUAAAUUGUCUUCGACGAGUCGAGUUGUUUGGGAAUGCAGCUCAAAAUGGGUGGUAAAUGUCAUCUAAAGCUAAAUAUUGGCGAGAGACCGAUAGCGCACAAGUAGAGUGAUCGAAAGAUGAAAAGCACUUUGAAAAGAGAGUCAAAAAGUACGUGAAAUUGCUGAAAGGGAAGCGCUUGAGACCAGACUCGAACCGUGGUGAUCAGCCGUGCUUCUGUGCGGUGUCACUUGCCACGGUUUGGGCCAGCAUCGGUUCUGGCGGUCGGAUAAAAGGUGGAGGAAUGUAGCUUCCUUCUGGGAGUGUUAAUUUAGCCACCACCACAAUGCGGCCAGCCGGGACCGAGGACCGCGCGCCUUCUUUGGCUAGGAUGCUGGCGUAAUGGUCUUAAGCGACCCGUCUUGAAACACGGACCAAGGAGUCUAACAUCUUAUGCGAGUGUUCGGGUGGAAAAACCCUUGCGCGAAAUGAAAGUGAACGGAGGUGGGAACCCGCAAGGGUGCACCAUCGACCGAUCCUGAAGUCUUCGGAAGGAUUUGAGUAGGAGCACAGAUGUUGGGACCCGAAAGAUGGUGAACUAUGCCUGAAUAGGGUGAAGCCAGAGGAAACUCUGGUGGAGGCUCGCAGCGGUUCUGACGUGCAAAUCGAUCGUCAAAUUUGGGUAUAGGGGCGAAAGACUAAUCGAACCAUCUA
rnacentral:rRNA from 1 species